ensembl:lncRNA LINC02663 long intergenic non-protein coding RNA 2663
GGGGUCAUAAUGGGGGGGUCCCUAAUCCAACAGGACUAGUGGCCUUGUGAGAAGAGAGAGCAACACCAGCAAUGCACAUGCAAAGAGGAAAGGCCCUGCAAGGAUGCUAAGAACGAGGACGGCCAUCCGCCCACCAAGGAGAGAAGUAUCAGGAGGAACAAACCGGCCAACACCUUGAUCUUGGACUUCCAGCCUCCAGAACUGUCCGCAGCUUGGGCUACCUUCCAGCAUAAAGUCACUAAAGAUGUGCCGGGCAUGAUGAAGGAAGAAAGCGACUACAUGCUGAAGGAGAUGGUGCGGGGACUCGCUAGUACCUAUUGGCAGGACCUGGGGAACUUUGGUGGGUGCUUGAUAAUGGGGACUGGAAUAAAAACUGGCUAAGCAAAAA